rnacentral:rRNA from 1 species
GACGAACGCUGGCGGCGUGCUUAACACAUGCAAGUCGAACGGAAAGGCCCUGCUUUUGUGGGGUGCUCGAGUGGCGAACGGGUGAGUAACACGUGAGUAACCUGCCCUUGACUUUGGGAUAACUUCAGGAAACUGGGGCUAAUACCGGAUAGGAGCUCCUGCUGCAUGGUGGGGGUUGGAAAGUUUCGGCGGUUGGGGAUGGACUCGCGGUUUAUCAGCUUGUUGGUGGGGUAGUGGCUUACCAAGGCUUUGACGGGUAGCCGGCCUGAGAGGGUGACCGGCCACAUUGGGACUGAGGUACGGCCCAGACUCCUACGGGAGGCAGCAGUGGGGAAUAUUGCACAAUGGGCGGAAGCCUGAUGCAGCAACGCCGCGUGCGGGAUGACGGCCUUCGGGUUGUAAACCGCUUUCGCCUGUGACGAAGCGUGAGUGACGGUAAUGGGUAAAGAAGCACCGGCUAACUACGU